UGUAUCUGAAGUCUGACGAGGAUGAGAACCUCUGGGGGCAAGAGGUUCGACUCGAGCGAAGCGAGAGAACGUUGCGUCAGCAACGGCCCGCAGGGCGAGCCACCCUCUAUCACCGGCAG
rnacentral:sRNA from 1 species